UACGGAGGGAGCUAGCGUUGUUCGUAAUUACUGGGCGUAAAGCGUACGUAGGCGGUUACUCAAGUCAGAGGUGAAAGCCCGGGGCUCAACCCCGGAACUGCCUUUGAAACUAGGUGGCUAGAAUCUUGGAGAGGUCAGUGGAAUUCCGAGUGUAGAGGUGAAAUUCGUAGAUAUUCGGAAGAACACCAGUGGCGAAGGCGACUGACUGGACAAGUAUUGACGCUGAGGUACGAAAGCGUGGGGAGCAAACAGG
rnacentral:rRNA from 1 species